UCGAACGCAAGGCUUCGGCCUUGAGUGGCGCACGGGUGAGUAGCGCGUGGGAACCUGCCCUGGAGUGGGGGAUAACCGAGGGAAACUUCGGCUAAUACCGCAUGCGCCCGGGAAACCGGGGAAAGAUUUAUCGCUCUAGGAGGGGCCCGCGUCGGAUUAGCUAGUUGGUGGGGUAACGGCCUACCAAGGCGAUGAUCCGUAGCUGGUCUGAGAGGAUGAUCAGCCACACUGGGACUGAGACACGGCCCAGACUCCUACGGGAGGCAGCAGUGGGGAAUAUUGGACAAUGGGCGAAAGCCUGAUCCAGCAAUGCCGCGUGAGUGAGGAAGGCCUUAGGGUUGUAAAGCUCUUUCGGCGGGGACGAUGAUGACGGUACCCGCAGAAGAAGCCCCGGCUAACUUCGUGCCAGCAGCCGCGGUAAUACGAAGGGGGCGAGCGUUGUUCGGAUUUACUGGGCGUAAAGGGCGCGCAGGCGGUUCUGUUUGUCGAGUGUGAAAGCCCCGGGCUCAACCUGGGAACUGCGCUCGAAACGGCGGAACUAGAGUUCGGGAGAGGAGAGUGGAAUUCCCAGUGUAGAGGUGAAAUUCGUAGAUAUUGGGAAGAACACCGGUGGCGAAGGCGGCUCUCUGGACCGAUACUGACGCUGAGGCGCGAAAGCGUGGGGAGCAAACAGGAUUAGAUACCCUGGUAGUCCACUCUGUAAACGAUGUGUGCUAGACGUUGGGGAGCCUAGCUCUUCGGUGUCGCAGCUAACGCGGUAAGCACACCGCCUGGGGAGUACGGCCGCAAGGUUA
rnacentral:rRNA from 1 species